rnacentral:lncRNA from 1 species
UAUUAUUCCUGUUCGAAUUCGAUCAUGCGCAAACCUAUAUAUGACGAGUCUAUCCAAACUACAUUCCUGUUCCAUCAUGCGCAAACCAUACAUAUGACGGUGACCACGAAUGAAGUAGUCAGGUCCAUCCAUAUGUUGUCAUCCAAGCCAGAGAAGUCGGAGUAUGAGAAGUUGCAUGCCGGCUGCUGCUCCUAGUCCAAACAGUCUGCAUAGAUCUUCGUCAUAAUUCUGAUGAAAAAGACAAUGCCCCUAUACCCAUGAUAAAUAUUGCUAAUAUAGUAAUAUGCAACCAUAAUUUAAAUUAUAUGUUUUAUUUAGAAUUUUCCGUGCAUGUCUCGGUGGUUAAGCAGGCCAUUGCUGUUGAGGAAAUGCUUUUUAGUCUGCCUGGCAGGUUGCAUGGUGGUCGAUGCUACAGUCUGCAAGGAUUUGUCUAGGUGUGUAUCCUCUGUUUCAAAUUGGGCCCAUACUACUGGAAACUGGAUCUUUGCCUAGUGUCAGAAGCUUUACCGAGUGCAAAAUAUCCACUCAGCAAAGCUUCUCUUUGUCGAGGAGUGUCGUACUCGGCAAAGAAAAACACUCGGCAAAGGUGGCUUUGCCAAGUGUCGGAUACCCGGCAAAGAUAGCUGUAGGUGACGGCCGUCUAUCUUUCACAACUGCUCACCAUCUGGCACUCGGCAAAAACAAUUUUUAUUUUUUAUUUUUUUAAUAAAUUUUUUUGAGUUGGGCCCGCUGAUUUCUUUUCAAAGUGCAUGGUACUCCAAGGAUUAGCUGAAACUAAACAUCUAGUGCUGCUACCUGAUGACAAGAUGGUACACUUCAAUUAAUUAAUAUGUCUUUCUUUUAUUAGUACUGUCGGUAUCAAUGUCAGGGAUACCCAGUUAGACGGUAUUAACCACAUGACCGGAUUGAUGCUCCCCUGAUAAAAAGAAAGUUUCUCCCUCCCCUGACCCCCUAAUGUCAGCGUGCCCGGACCCAGAGCAAACCAUGUUGUACCCAUGGGGCACCAUGCCAUCUCGAGGGCGCCCAACCCUUUUAGAGCGAUUCUGUCUUGCUCGAGAGACACGCCCUGCCCUCCGGCACAAUCAGAAUAAGCAUCACUAGUACAGAGAGAUACUAUACAGGCGGUUCGCAACCCCUUUGUACAGGCGGAUUGACGAACCGCCAGUGGCUACAGGCCUGUGAAAAUAAAAGUUUCCACAGGCGGUUAACUGAGAACCGCCUGUAGAAACCAAUUUCUACAGACGGUUCAGUUAUG